AAAGACUCCUGUUAUGCAACUACUGACCUACUAACAUACAAUUGGAGACAUUUAGAGAGCGAGGAGGAAAUUGUAGCAAGUCCCUAACGUAAUAAGAUAACAGAUUCAAAAUAAGCGACACAGAAUUCAUGCUCACAUACAGACACUAAUCACAGAGCUCGCACUGUACUUGAAGGACGAUCGCAAAUUUGAAUUCGAUAGAAGUCGGAAAUAGGAAUUGUUGAACAAGCGUGGCUGUUAUAUUAGACUUCGCACUGUGGUCUUUUAUUUACACAUACAAGCCUUUCUUCUUGCAACCUACUGGAGAAGGAGAGAGGAGGCAGCGCUCCUCCCAAGAGACUGACA
rnacentral:lncRNA from 1 species